AGCACUUCCCCCAUCAGUGAAGUGCUUUAUUUAACAGGAUGGCUUUUCAUUGGGAACCAAAUUCAAAUACCUGAAUUUUUUUCUUUCAUCUUUUGGGACAGGCUGUGAACUGGAAAAGUGGAAUUUAACUGUAAAUGUAUUGUUUCCUUAUUCUUUAGCUUAUAGUUGCUCAUUUGCUGAAUUUAUUACCAUUGUGUGGUGUAGAAAACACCACUAGAAGUUUAGUUGCAGAAGCCGAGAGUCUGAAAAUGGAGAAGAGUUAAUAUUAAACUUCCUAAUCCAAUAUCUUGGCUUACAAUUGUUUUUUGUGCCUAAAUAUUUGCCCAGUUUAAGUCUGAUUGUUGAUUCUUUAUUUCUCUUAAGAAAUGGCUUUGGUAUAUUUUUACUAUUACUGAGAAUGAGGUUUCUCUCUCUAUUUUCUGCCUCCAGAUGGCUCUUUAGACCUAAGAAGCAGUUCUCUUUCCUUUAAAAUAUCUGCAAGUAUUUGAAUUGAUACUGAUAACCGGACUGUAGUGAAAGCUGCUGGGCAGGUCUCAGCAACUCCAUGUCACCGUGGCAGACCAAAUGUGUGCAGAAGUCUGCAAGGAGCAUGGAGAACUUGGAACAGAUUAUCUUCUUAGGUGCACACAGGCUGACAAUCUACGGACACAUACCCUCAAAAUAAACCGGGGCUACUUUGUGUCUGCCUGUGCCUGCCCUUCUUCCUUUUCCACUCAGGAAAUCACAUCAGCAGGGUUGCAGACAACAUACACUGACUCUGGCUAGAACUUAUUGGAUGAACAGUCAGAUCCUGAAAUUUAGGAGUUGAAGCAGCAAGCAGUUUGAUGAUACAAGCCGUGGUGGACCUCUGGGGCCUCAGAAGCAGAUGGUUAUGGAUCUUCCUCUGGAAUGUUGAUGGCUUUAUUUCUCAUCUUUAGUGACCUGUCAUUGGUUGCCAGGAAGACAGGGCCGUGUCCCAAACAUGGACACUGCUGUCACUUCGCUGAUUCAGGAAUACUCUGCAGGGCAAAGGGAAUGUUGGGAGACUAAUGCAUUUUAAAGGGUUUCUUUUUUUUGUAUAUUUUAUUUGAAAUGUUUUGUUUGGUACUAUGGAAAAAAUAAUUUUAGAGACAACAAAUGUUAUCAAUGUAGGUAACAGUUUACCAUAAAAGAGAGACAUAGGAAAUAUUUAUGUGCUGGGCUGGAGGCGUAGCUCAGUGGUAGAAUGCAUGAGACCCUGGGUUCAAUCCCAAGAAAACCUCCUCCCCCUUAAAAAAUGCAGAAAAUAGUUACAGGAUGAAAUUUCAGAACACCACUGAAAGUUUUUAAAGGUUUUGUUGAGGCACAGUUGACAUAUAACAAAGUUCACAUAUUUGAAAUCAUGGUUUGGUAUAUUUUGGUACUGAUGAUGCACAUCUGGAAAACUGCCACUAUGAUGAAGACAAUGACUGUCUUCCACCCCUGGAUAUCUCCUUGUGCCUUUGUGUUCCUUCCCUCAGCCCCUGCCAUCCCUAAGCACCCACUGCCUAUGUCCCUUAGAUUGACUCAAUUUUUCUAGUGUGUCAUAUAAAUGGAAUCAUACAGUGCAUGUCUUCUUUUUGACUCAGUAUGACUACUGUGAGACUCAUCCAUGUUACAGUAGACAGCAGUGCUUUGUUUCUUUAUAUGAGUGACUAAUGCUGAAUAGAUUAUACAGCUUGUUUAUUUAUUAGUUAGCAAGCAUUUUACUUAUUUCUGUCUGGGGAUAUUAUCAAUAAAAAUGUUAUAACAAUUUGUGUACAGGUGAUUUUUAGAUAUGUUUUCAUUUCUGUUGGAUAAACUAGAAGUAGAAUCAGUAAUUGCCAAGUAUCAAGUAGUUGUACCAUUUUAUAUUCCUACCACAAAUAUCUUGUAGCCACACUUGUUCUAUAUCUGCACAAACACAUAGUGCAUGUCUAGUAUUUACUUUGAAAAUAAUACUUUAGAAAGGGAAACAAGCCAAAUAAAAAAUUAAUUAAAAAAUUUA